AUACUUACCUGGCAAGGAAGAUACCAUGAUCAUGAAGGUAGUUUUCCCAGGGUGAGGCUUAUCCAUUGCACUCCGGAUGUGCUGACCCCUGCGAUUUCCCCAAAAGAAAGAAAAAAAAAUUCAUGGAGCUGGAGCAGUGGCACAAGCGGUAGGCCUUGCAUGCUCUAA